UACGAAGGGGGCUAGCGUUGCUCGGAAUCACUGGGCGUAAAGCGCACGUAGGCGGCUUUUUAAGUCAGAGGUGAAAUCCUGGAGCUCAACUCCAGAACUGCCUUUGAUACUGAGAGGCUUGAGUCCGGGAGAGGUGAGUGGAACUGCGAGUGUAGAGGUGAAAUUCGUAGAUAUUCGCAAGAACACCAGUGGCGAAGGCGGCUCACUGGCCCGGUACUGACGCUGAGGUGCGAAAGCG
rnacentral:rRNA from 1 species